GGCUGGAGUGCGGUGGUGUGAUCUCGACUCACUGCAACCUCUGCCUCCCUGGUUCAAGCAAUUCUCCGGCCUCAGCCUCCCAAGUAGCUGGGAUUACAGGUGCUCGCUGCCAUGCCCAGCUAAUUUUUUUGUAUUUUAGUAGAGAAAGGGUUUCACCUUGUUGCCUAGGCUGAUCUUGAACUCCUGAACUCAGGCAAUCUGUCUGCCUCAGCCUCCCAAAGUGCUGGGAUUACAGGCGUGAGCCACUGCGCCCGGCCCAAAAAUCCAUCUUUGUGGGUUCCUUUGUAAAUGUGUAGUCAAUUUAGAAAUUUAGAAACACGGUUUCCCUUAAGCCUUUAUUUAGUUACAAUCACAACUAACAUGUUACUUAUACACCUGGCAAAGUGAAACAUCAAAAAAUUAAUUCAGGGCCUGGCCUCAGGCCUGUAAUCCCAGCACUUUGGGAUGCCAAGGCAGACGGAUCACUUGAGGUCAGGAG
rnacentral:lncRNA from 1 species